AUUGAACGCUGGCGGCAUGCCUUACACAUGCAAGUCGAACGGCAGCACGGGAGCAAUCCUGGUGGCGAGUGGCGAACGGGUGAGUAAUACAUCGGAACGUGCCCAAUCGUGGGGGAUAACGCAGCGAAAGCUGUGCUAAUACCGCAUACGAUCUACGGAUGAAAGCAGGGGACCGCAAGGCCUUGCGCGAAUGGAGCGGCCGAUGGCAGAUUAGGUAGUUGGUGGGGUAAAGGCUCACCAAGCCAACGAUCUGUAGCUGGUCUGAGAGGACGACCAGCCACACUGGGACUGAGACACGGCCCAGACUCCUACGGGAGGCAGCAGUGGGGAAUUUUGGACAAUGGGCGCAAGCCUGAUCCAGCCAUGCCGCGUGCAGGAUGAAGGCCUUCGGGUUGUAAACUGCCUUUGUACGGAACGAAACGGCCUUUUCUAAUAAAGAGGGCUAAUGACGGUACCGUAAGAAUAAGCACCGGCUAACUACGUG
rnacentral:rRNA from 1 species